AACAAACGCUGGCGGCGUGCCUAAUACAUGCAAGUCGAACGGGGAAAGCUUUCGGGUGAGUACUAGUGGCGCACGGGUGAGGAACGCGUGGAUAAUCUGCCUUAGAGUGGGGGAUAACUAGUCGAAAGAUUAGCUAAUACCGCAUAAGACCACGAGAGCUGCGGCUUUUGAGGUCAAAGGUUUUUCGCUCUAAGAUGAGUCCGCGUAACAUUAGCUAGUUGGUGAGGUAACGGCUCACCAAGGCGACGAUCUUUAACUGGUCUGAGAGGAUGAUCAGUCACACUGGAACUGAGACACGGUCCAGACUCCUACGGGAGGCAGCAGUAGGGAAUAUUGCACAAUGGAGGAAACUCUGAUGCAGCGACGCCGCGUGAGUGAUGAAGGCCUUCGGGUCGUAAAGCUCUGUCGCAGGGGAAUAACACAAUGAAGGUACCCUGUAAGAAAGGAUCGGCUAACUUCGUG
rnacentral:rRNA from 1 species